ACAAGCCAAGGGUUAUAGAGUUUUCAACUUGCAAACAAAAAGUAUUUCAAUCCGAAGAGAUGUAGUCGUGGAUGAGCAUGCCUAUUGGAACUGGGAUAAGGAGCAAAUUGAGAAAGAUAAUGCAGUUUUUCAGAACUUGAGUCCGCUGCCUGAAAUCCAAUCAUUUGGGUCUGAAACUCUGGAAGAAGACGAAGAAUCAGAC
rnacentral:lncRNA from 1 species